rnacentral:misc_RNA from 1 species
AGUCAUCAACUCGGACCGUUUUUCUUACGGUCAGGGUUGGAGCUGGGGGACUUUGCCGAUCGCCUCGACCGGCUCCCCUCAAAUGCGUCGGUUGGGCCUGUGGGUCGAACGUUUGGGCGUUGUACCAUCCUCGCUCUACAACACUAGACCUGCUUUACGUGCCCCUCCUCGACCUUGCCCGACUGGUUUCGGGUGGUCAAUGCAAACUUUGAA